ACACGACUACAUUAGAUACCCCCGUAGUCCUAGCCGUAAACGAUACUCGCUAGGUGUCGGCCACGGUGCGACCGUUGUCGGUGCCGUAGGGAAGCCGUGAAGCGAGCCACCUGGGAAGUACGGCCGCAAGGCUGAAACUUAAAGGGAAUUGGCGGGGGAGCACCACAACGGGUGGAGCUUGCGGUUUAAUUGGAUUCAACGCCGGAAAUCUUACCGGGACCGACAGCAACAUGAAGGCCAGGCUGAAGACUUUGCCGGAUUAGCUG
rnacentral:rRNA from 1 species